CCUCUUCCCAUUCCGAACAGAGUAGUUAAGCCGCCCAGCGCCGAUGGUACUGCCUUCACCGGUGGAAGAGUAGGUCCCCGCCAACC
rnacentral:rRNA from 1 species